UACGUAGGUGGCAAGCGUUGUCCGGAUUUACUGGGCGUAAAGAGCGCGCAGGCGGUCGUACAAGUCGCGUGUGAAAGCCCCCGGCUCAACUGGGGAGGGUCACGCGAUACUGUUCGACUCGAAGGCAGGAGAGGGAAGCAGAAUUCCCGGUGUAGUGGUGAAAUGCGUAGAUAUCGGGAGGAAUACCAGUGGCGAAGGCGGCUUCCUGGCCUGUUCUUGACGCUGAGGCGCGAAAGCUAGGGUAGCGAACGGG
rnacentral:rRNA from 1 species